CCCAGACUCCUACGGGAGGCAGCAGUCGGGAAUAUUGCGCAAUGGAGGAAACUCUGACGCAGUGACGCCGCGUGCAGGAAGAAGGUUUUCGGAUUGUAAACUGCUUUAGACAGGGAAGAAACAAGACAGUACCUGUAGAAUAAGCUCCGGCUAACUCCGUGCCAGCAGCCGCGGUAAUACGGAGGAUGCGAGCGUUAUCCGGAUUUAUUGGGUUUAAAGGGUGCGCAGGCGGCGUGUCAAGCAAGCGGUAAAAUAGCGGGGCUCAACCCCGUCGAGCCGUUUGAACUGGCGCGCUUGAGUUCAGGCGAGGUAGGCGGAAUUCGUGGUGUAGCGGUGAAAUGCAUAGAUAUCACGAAGAACUCCGAUUGCGAAGGCAGCUUACCAGUCUGCGACUGACGCUCAGGCACGAAAGUGUGGGUAUCGAACAGGAUUAGAUACCCGGGUAU
rnacentral:rRNA from 1 species